rnacentral:lncRNA from 1 species
AAUCAUGAGCGAUUAUAUAGGAGUUGUAGAAGUUUGUUGGAGUGUUAGACUGAGAAAGUCAUGAGCCGGAGUAAGCUUGGUGCUACCUCUUUGUUUCUUUGUUUUCUUUAUUAUUGAAGAGUAAUGGAUAAUUUCUGAAUACUGAGAAGUGAGUCUGUGGAAUAAAUAAGAGAUUGAUUUAUGAGUUAUUGAUUAUGUAAUUGGAGUACUGAGUGAUUCAAUUAUAUGAGGAGUUAUUGGAAGAUUAUGAUUGUUGUUUAUUGAGAGUUAUGUGUGUUUUGGACAGAAGAAGUCUGUGAUUAUAGAAAUUAUGUGAAUUCAGAUUGUUGGAAUGAAAUCUAUUAUUCCUAGUGUUAGAUGGAAAUUAUUGUGUUUUGAGCGGUAUUUAGAGAGUGCAAAGUUGCACACUGUUGUUAUUAGUUGAUAAAGGAGUAUUGUUACUAGGAGAAAGCAUCGUAGUAUUUCUUAGUAUUUUAGUGGUUUAGAAUACAGUUAAUUGUGUGACCCUAAUAAGUAAAAUUCAUGCACUUAGUCUUUCCCUCUAUUUGAAUUCUCCUAUACAAGUUUAUUCUGAAAGGAAUUGUAGAAUAAGUAAAACGACAAUCACAUUUUGGCACCGUUGUCGAGGAUAGAUAAUAACAUUGAGUGUUAAGAAUUAACUGCCGGUUUAAUUAGAUGGGAGAUAGGAAGCAAAUUCAGUAGAAUAUAAUAAAAGAGUA